AAAACAAUAAGUCCAAACGGCGGUCGCUCACUGCACACAAUAAUAGUAGUGCGCAGAAUCGAUUUUACUAUUGCGUAUUGUAUAAUGUGCAUAUACAUACAUAUGUAUACAUACAUACAUAUAUUGGACGGAUGGAAAUAUCGCAGGCGUAUGCAAUAUAAAGUGCAAGUGUAUAUGUGCCGCGGCAGAUUUAUCCAAUAUAAUUAUGUGCUUAUGCCAAUUGUGUGUGUUUCCCGUAUGUAUGUAUAUCCGUGGAUCGAUCUUGAAACUGCUAGGUCGUAGCCAGUGAUAGCAGGCUGUGCAUAUGGACUAUGCGUUGUGGCCAAAAAGCACCGGAGGCUUCUGGAAGUCAGAGGACAAACUGUCUACAAGAUGGGGUUGGAAUCCCAUGGCGCCAAGGACAACUUGGGGCGAACGGAUGAGGACUGCACAGAACGUGGGGUGUAUUAGGAGGUGCAGAACUUCUGAUCCGGCACGAAGGACCAUGUUAAGGAGUGAGGAGCCGGAGUAAAUUCCCAAAAAAUGUGGAGACGCACGACGUUUCUUUUCACUUGCUUGAGCCUAAAAAAAGCCCCAAUAAUUCAGUCUCCAAAUGAACAAAUUUA